rnacentral:tRNA from 1 species
UGUUAAGAUAGGUUAAAUUUAGACCAUAGGAUUCAUACUCCUAAAGUAUCAAAUUUGUAC